rnacentral:rRNA from 1 species
GCAAGUCGAACGCGAAAGGGGCUUCGGCCCUGAGUAGAGUGGCAAACGGGUGAGUAACGCGUGGGUGACCUGCCCUCGAGUGGGGGAUAACGUUCCGAAAGGGACGCUAAUACCGCAUAACAUCCUGCUUUUGAACAGGUGGCGAUCAAAGCUGGGGACCGCAAGGCCUGGCGCUUGAGGAGGGGCCCGCGUCCGAUUAGCUAGUUGGUAGGGUAAUGGCCUACCAAGGCGACGAUCGGUAGCCGGCCUGAGAGGGCGGACGGCCACACUGGGACUGAGACACGGCCCAGACUCCUACGGGAGGCAGCAGUGGGGAAUUGUUCGCAAUGGGCGCAAGCCUGACGACGCAACGCCGCGUGGAGGAUGAAGGUCUUCGGAUUGUAAACUCCUGUUGACCGGGAAGAAUUCCUUUGGGGGGAAUAUCCCUGGAGGUUGACGGUACCGGUUGAGGAAGCCCCGGCUAACUCUGUGCCAGCAGCCGCGGUAAUACAGAGGGGGCGAGCGUUGUUCGGAAUUACUGGGCGUAAAGGGCGCGUAGGCGGCCAACUAAGUCGAACGUGAAAUCCCCUGGCUCAACCAGGGAACUGCGUCCGAGACUGGCUGGCUUGAAUCCGGGAGAGGGAUGUGGAAUUCCAGGUGUAGCGGUGAAAUGCGUAGAUAUCUGGAGGAACACCGGUGGCGAAGGCGGCACCCUGGACCGGUAUUGACGCUGAGGCGCGAAAGCCAGGGGAGCAAACGG